rnacentral:lncRNA from 1 species
ACGGGUAAAUUAUAAAACUAUAUAUUACUCUAUAUGUUCAUAAAUAUAAGAUGUCUAGGUAGAAACAACACAUAUAUUAAUAAAACUAUUUUUUUGUCCAAAAAGUAUCAUUAAAACUAUAAAUUAAUAGUAUUCAACCAAUUACAAAAUAGACUAUUAAAAUAUGAUUGGGUACACAGUUUUUAAUAAAGUAAAAGUUACCUAAAAAAAUGAAAACAUCUUAUAUAUUGGAAUAUCUUAUAUAUUGGAACAUCAAA